AUGGUGGCAGACAUCCCUGGAACAACUGGUGUCAGCUUUGGCCAGGAGCUUGUAGUUUAUGAAAGACCGGAGCCAAGAUCCGGCAUCCACCGGAUGGUGUUUGUGCUGUUCCAGCAACUAGGUAGGGGGGCAGUUUUUGCGCCAGACAUGCGGCAAAACUUCAGCUGCAGGAGCCUCGCACGGCAGUACCACCUCAGCAUUGUGGCCGCGACAUAUUUCAACUGUCAAAUGGAAGGUGGAUGGGGCGGAAGAAGGUUUCGGCCAGAAAGUUCUCAAGGAGAGUAG
rnacentral:rRNA from 1 species